rnacentral:rRNA from 1 species
GAUGAACGCUGACAGAAUGCUUAACACAUGCAAGUCAACUUGAACUUCGGUUUGGGUGGCGGACGGGCGAGUAACGCGUAAAGAACUUGCCCCACAGAUAGGGACAACAUUUGGAAACGAAUGCUAAUACCUGAUAUUAUGAUUAUAUGGCAUCGUAUAAUUAUGAAAGCUAUAUGUGCUGUGAGAGGGCUUUGCGUCCCAUUAGCUAGUUGGAGAGGUAACGGAUCACAAAGGCGAGGAUGGGUAGCCGGCCUGAGAGGGUGAUCGGCCACAAAGGGACUGAGGCACGGCCCUUACUCCUUCGGGAGGCAGCGGUGGGAGAUAUUGGACGAAGGACCAAGAGACUGAUCCAGCAAUUCUGUGUGUACGAUGAAGUUUUUCGGAAUGUAAAGUGCUUUCAGUUGGGAAGAAAAAAAUGACGGUACCAACAGAAGAAGUGACGGCUAAAUACGUG